AACAAAUGAAAAAUUUGCAAGUGCAUCAUCUGAAAAGACCAAGCUCUGUAGUGUUGUAAACUUUGAUAUUUUCAUCAUUUUCUACUGCAGGAAGGAAAAAUACUUGGAUGGUGAUGUAAAAUAGUUUAUUUGAACAUAUUUUGGACCGUUCUGUCUACCCUCAUAAAAUUGCAGGAAAACAUAAAUUGCUUCAACUACAAGUAUUUUGAUCCUUAUCCAAAAUAUUUACUGUAAUCUUAAGGCUUUUGCAACAUUGCCUCUAUUGGAAGUUGCUGUAAAAACAAGAGGAACAGUGUUGUCUGCCUAUGCCUUGUACCACUGAUCUCUUACCAUGAUUGAGGAUUGUUCUGAUGAGAAAGGAAAUUACUAGAGUCACAGAUUAUGAACUCUAGCUAGUGAGGUUAAUCAAAUUUCAACAGUUCUUCACAGCCCAGUGGAAUCAUCACAGACCCGUUAUAUUUAGCUGAGUCAUGCUGCUUUGUAUUCAUGUUUUGAGCUAUGGAGGUGGCCACGUCAAUUAGGUGGAUGCUGAGCAGCUGUGAGAUUGGAUGAAAGAGUUAUGAAAUUCUCUGGAGAAAGCAGGAGGCUCUUCCAGUAACACAAAGGCAGUGGUGAUCAAGAAGCAGAAAAAUGCCUAUGCUGGGAAGGUACUGUAGAAAUCGUUAUAUGUGCCAAAUCUGUCAAGACUGAUAAUUAGUAUUAGCAAAAAGUUAUGCAGUUAUCAUCAGAUCACAAUGAAAUAAUGACAGCAAGUUUAACAGGAUGUUUAUGUAGUUAAUCCUUUCGUUGAUGUAUCGUUUGUAAAGUACUACAAUGGUAAUGAAACUAUCAUGCCUCCAGUGAGGCCUCUUAAAUGAAAUAAAAACAAGUUGGUACAUGGCUAAAAUUGAAGUUGUACAAUUCUGCAUGGUGCUGCUCUAUUCACCAUGUC